rnacentral:rRNA from 1 species
UGGGGAAUAUUGGACAAUGGGCGAAAGCCUGAUCCAGCCAUGCCGCGUGUGUGAAGAAGGUCUUCGGAUUGUAAAGCACUUUAAGUUGGGAGGAAGGGCAGUAAGCGAAUACCUUGCUGUUUUGACGUUACCGACAGAAUAAGCACCGGCUAACUCUGUGCCAGCAGCCGCGGUAAUACAGAGGGUGCAAGCGUUAAUCGGAAUUACUGGGCGUAAAGCGCGCGUAGGUGGUUCGUUAAGUUGAAUGUGAAAGCCCCGGGCUCAACCUGGGAACUGCAUUAAAAACUGGCGAGCUAGAGUAGGGCAGAGGGUGGUGGAAUUUCCUGUGUAGCGGUGAAAUACGUAGAUAUAGGAAGGAACACCAGUGGCGAAGGCGACCACCUGUGCUCAUACUGACACUGAGGUGCGAAAGCGUGGGGAGCAAACAGG